AUUGAACGCUGGCGGAAUGCUUUACACAUGCAAGUCGAACGGCAGCACGGACUUCGGUCUGGUGGCGAGUGGCGAACGGGUGAGUAAUGUAUCGGAACGUGCCCAGUCGUGGGGGAUAACGUAGUGAAAAUUACGCUAAUACCGCAUACGAUCUAUGGAUGAAAGCGGGGGAUCGCAAGACCUCGCGCGAUUGGAGCGGCGGAUAUCAGAUUAGGUAGUUGGUGGGGUAAAGGCCGACCAAGCCAACGAUCUGUAGCUGGUCUGAGAGGACGACCAGCCACACUGGAACUGAGACACGGUCCAGACUCCUACGGGAGGCAGCAGUGGGGAAUUUUGGACAAUGGGCGAAAGCCUGAUCCAGCCAUUCCGCGUGCAGGAUGAAGGCCCUCGGGUUGUAAACUGCUUUUGUACAGAACGAAAAGGUUUCUACUAAUACUAGGAGCUCAUGACGGUACUGUAAGAAUAAGCACCGGCUAACUACGUGCCAGCAGCCGCGGUAA
rnacentral:rRNA from 1 species